rnacentral:tRNA from 1 species
GCCAAUCUAGCUUAGUUGGUAGAGCAGCGGUUUCGUAAAUCGCAGGUCGUGGGUUCGAGCCCCAUGGUUGGCU